rnacentral:rRNA from 1 species
UUUCGGCGGUACAGGAUGGGCCCGCGGCCUAUCAGCUUGUUGGUGGGGUAGUGGCCUACCAAGGCGACGACGGGUAGCCGGCCUGAGAGGGUGACCGGCCACACUGGGACUGAGACACGGCCCAGACUCCUACGGGAGGCAGCAGUGGGGAAUAUUGCACAAUGGGCGGAAGCCUGAUGCAGCGACGCCGCGUGAGGGAUGACGGCCUUCGGGUUGUAAACCUCUUUCGCCAGGGACGAAGCGUAAGUGACGGUACCUGGAGAAGAAGCACCGGCUAACUACGUGCCAGCAGCCGCGGUAAUACGUAGGGUGCAAGCGUUGUCCGGAAUUAUUGGGCGUAAAGAGCUCGUAGGCGGCUUGUCGCGUCUGCUGUGAAAAUCCGGGGCUUAACUCCGGACCUGCAGUGGAUACGGGCAGGCUUGAGUUCGGUAGGGGAGACUGGAAUUCCUGGUGUAGCGGUG